GAUGAACGCUGGCGGCGUGCCUAAUACAUGCAAGUCGAGCGAACAGAUGAGGAGCUUGCUCCUCUGACGUUAGCGGCGGACGGGUGAGUAACACGUGGAUAACCUACCUAUAAGACUGGGAUAACUUCGGGAAACCGGAGCUAAUACCGGAUAAUAUAUUGAACCGCAUGGUUCAAUAGUGAAAGACGGUUUUGCUGUCACUUAUAGAUGGAUCCGCGCCGCAUUAGCUAGUUGGUAAGGUAACGGCUUACCAAGGCGACGAUGCGUAGCCGACCUGAGAGGGUGAUCGGCCACACUGGAACUGAGACACGGUCCAGACUCCUACGGGAGGCAGCAGUAGGGAAUCUUCCGCAAUGGGCGAAAGCCUGACGGAGCAACGCCGCGUGAGUGAUGAAGGUCUUCGGAUCGUAAAACUCUGUUAUUAGGGAAGAACAAAUGUGUAAGUAACUAUGCACGUCUUGACGGUACCUAAUCAGAAAGCCACUGCUAACUACGUG
rnacentral:rRNA from 1 species